rnacentral:hammerhead_ribozyme from 1 species
AUCCAGCUGAUGAGUCCCAAAUAGAACGAAAGGCGUGUGAUGGAU